UCGAUGGCAACGUGAAUCCCCUUGUUGUCCGAGACGUCGUCCCUGUCGUGCGCUCCAUCAGAGCCUCUUCGCCUUUCACUCCCAAUCCUCGUCGCAUUUCCGAGCAGAGCACGUCGAUCUACCGAAUGCACCUGCACAGGCGGAUGCCGGCGGAUUUGUUCCCCGCGUAAGUCUGGAAGGCGUCGAGCCUGUUCUCGCUGAU
rnacentral:lncRNA from 1 species